UGGGGAAUAUUGCGCAAUGGGCGAAAGCCUGACGCAGCAACACCGCGUGAGGGAUGACGGCCUUCGGGUUGUAAACCUCUUUCAGCUCCGACGAAGCGAAAGUGACGGUAGGAGCAGAAGAAGCACCGGCUAACUACGUGCCAGCAGCCGCGGUAAUACGUAGGGUGCAAGCGUUGUCCGGAAUUAUUGGGCGUAAAGAGCUCGUAGGCGGUCCGUUGCGUCUGCCGUGAAAACCCGGAGCUCAACUCCGGGCCUGCGGUGGAUACGGGCGGACUAGAGUCCGGUAGGGGAGACUGGAAUUCCUGGUGUAGCGGUGGAAUGCGCAGAUAUCAGGAGGAACACCGGUGGCGAAGGCGGGUCUCUGGGCCGGAACUGACGCUGAGGAGCGAAAGCGUGGGGA
rnacentral:rRNA from 1 species